rnacentral:pre_miRNA from 9 species
UCUCGAUAGUGUAAUAGUUAACUCAAAUUUGUAUGAAGUUGGAACGUUUGCCUAUGUUUGCCGCUAGGGACCCUGUUUCAGCUGCAUACACAUUUGAGUAACUUACGAUAUCGA